CUACGGGUUGCUGCAGUGGGGAAUAUUGGACAAUGGGGGAAACCCUGAUCCAGCAAUGCCGCGUGUGAAGAAGGCCUGCGGGUUGUAAAGCACUUUCGGUUGGGAGGACUGCUUCUAGCACUAAUAUUGUUGGAAGUUGACGUUACCUUCAGAAGAAGCACCGGCUAACGCCGUGCCAGCAGCCGCGGUAAUACGGAGGGGUGAAGCGUUAAUCGGAAUUACUGGGCGUAAAGCGCGCGUAGGCGGCUAGAUCAGUCGGGUGUGAAAGCCCCGGGCUUAACCUGGGAACUGCAUCCGAUACUGUCUAGCUUGAGUACAGGAGAGGAGAGUGGAAUUCCACAUGUAGCGGUGAAAUGCGUAGAUAUGUGGAGGAACACCAAUGGCGAAGGCAGCUCUCUGGCCUGAUACUGACGCUGAGGUGCGAAAGCGUGGGGAGCAAACAGGAUUAGAUACCCCCGUAGUC
rnacentral:rRNA from 1 species